UACAGAGGGUGCAAGCGUUAAUCGGAGUUACUGGGCGUAAAGGGCGCGUAGGCGGUUUAUUGGGUGUGAUGUGAAAGCCUUGGGCUUAACCUGAGAAGUGCAUCGCAAACUAAUAGACUGGAGUAUAUGAGAGGGUGGCGGAAUUUCCGGUGUAGCGGUGAAAUGCGUAGAGAUCGGAAGGAACGUCAAUGGCGAAGGCAGCCACCUGGCAUAAUACUGACGCUGAGGCGCGAGAGCGUGGGGAGCGAACAGGAUUAGAAACCCGCGUAGUCC
rnacentral:rRNA from 1 species